GCUCACAUAGCUCAGUCGGUAGAGCGUCACCUUGGUAAGGUGGAGGUCGUCGGUUCAAUCCCGAUUGUGAGCU
rfam:Clostridium sp. DL-VIII chromosome, whole genome shotgun sequence.